rnacentral:rRNA from 1 species
CCUACGUGAUGCUGCCGUGGGGAAUAUUGCACAAUGGGGGAAACCCUGAUGCAGCGACGCCGCGUGAGUGAAGCAGUAAUUCGUUAUGUAAAGCUCUAUCAGCAGGGAAGAAAAUGACGGUCCCUGAGUAAGAAGCCCCGGCUAACUACGUGCCAGCAGCCGCGGUAAUACGUCGGGUGCAAGCUUUAUCCGGCUUUACUGGGUGUAAAGGGAGCGUAGACGGCAGUGCAAGUCUGGAGUGAAAGGCGGGGGCUCAACCCCCGGACUGCUCUGGCAACUGGACGGCUGGAGUGCAGGAGAGGUAAGGGGAAUUCCUAGUGUAGCGGUGAAAUGCGUAGAUAUUAGGAGGAACACCAGUGGCGAAGGCGGCUUACUGGACUGUAACUGACGUUGAGGCUCGAAAGCGUGGGGAGCAAACAGGAUUAGAUACCCCUGUAGUC